AGGACAAACGCUGGCGGCGUACCUAAGACAUGCAAGUCGAACGGACUGCAGGUUUUCGGAUUUGCAGUGAGUGGCGAACGGGUGAGUAACGCGUAGGAACCCGCCUCGACGUGGGGGAUAACACUUGGAAACAGGUGCUAAUACCGCAUGUGGUCGGAAGAAGAAAGGCUCUAGCAAUUAGAGUCGCGUUGAGAGGGGCCUGCGUCCGAUUAGCUAAUUGGUGGGGUAAAGGCUCACCAAGGCGACGAUCGGUAGCUGGU
rnacentral:rRNA from 1 species